AGUGUAGCUCAAUUGGUUAGAGCGCUGGUCUGUGGAACCAGAGGUCGUGGGUUCAAGUCCCACCAC
rnacentral:tRNA from 1 species